AAAUUGAAGAGUUUGAUCAUGGCUCAGAUUGAACGCUGGCGGCAGGCCUAACACAUGCAAGUCGAACGGUAACAGAAAGCAGCUUGCUGCUUUGCUGACGAGUGGCGGAGGGGUGGGUAAUGUCUGGGAAACUGGCCGAUGGAGGGGGAUAACUACUGGAAACGGUAGCUAAUACCGCAUAUCGUCGGAUGACGAAAGAGGGGGACGUUCGGGCCUCUUUGCCUCGGGUGUGGCCCUGUGGGGGUUGGUGGUAGGUGGG
rnacentral:rRNA from 1 species